GAACCCCACGAAAUAAACGUCUCAGUUCGGAUUGCAGGCUGCAACCCGCCUGCAUGAAGCCGGAAUCGCUAGUAAUCGCGGAUCAGAAUGCCGCGGUGAAUACGUUCCCGGGUCUUGUACACACCGCCCGUCACACCAUGGGAGUCGAUAACGCCCGAAGUCAGUGACCCAACCGAGAGGAGGGAGCUGCCGAAGGCGGGAUUGAUAACUGGGGUGAAGUCGUAACAAGGUAAC
rnacentral:rRNA from 1 species